CCUUCCGUAGGGUGACCUGCGGAAGGAUCAUUAACGAAUCAAACAAGUCUCAUCUUGUUCUGAUCCUGUGCACCUUAUGUAGUCACUGCUAAAAGCCUUCACGGGCUGCGGCUCUGACUAUGUCUAUCUCACACCUUAAAAGUAUGUCAAUGAAUGUCAUCAUGGUCUUGACAGACCCUAAAAAGUUAAUACAACUUUCGACAACGGAUCUCUUGGCUCUCGCAUCGAUGAAGAACGCAGCGAAAUGCGAUAAGUAAUGUGAAUUGCAGAAUUCAGUGAAUCAUCGAAUCUUUGAACGCACCUUGCGCCCUUUGGUAUUCCGAGGGGCAUGCCUGUUUGAGUGUCAUUAACAACCAUCAACCCCACUUUUGACUUUGGUCUCUUUGUGGUGGCUUGGAAGUGGAGGUCUGCUGGAGCCUAACGGAGCCAGCUCCUCUUAAAUGCAUUAGCGGAAUUCCCUUGCGGGAUCGCGUCUCCGAUGUGAUAAUCACUACGUCGUUGACCAUCUCGGAGCUGCUAGUCAGUUUCAAUAGGAUCUGCUUCUAACCGUCUCUAACGAGACUAGUGACCUAUGUGCACUACUUUUGACUUGACCUCAAAUCAUGUAGGACUACCCGCUGAACUUAAGCAUAUCAUAAGCGGAGGA
rnacentral:rRNA from 1 species